rnacentral:rRNA from 1 species
ACGUAGAUCACAAGCGUUGUCCGGAAUUACUGGGUGUAAAGGGAGCGCAGGCGGGAAGACAAGUUGGAAGUGAAAUCCAUGGGCUCAACCCAUGAACUGCUUUCAAAACUGUUUUUCUUGAGUAGUGCAGAGGUAGGCGGAAUUCCCGGUGUAGCGGUGGAAUGCGUAGAUAUCGGGAGGAACACCAGUGGCGAAGGCGGCCUACUGGGCACCAACUGACGCUGAGGCUCGAAAGUGUGGGUAGCAAACAG